rnacentral:snRNA from 1 species
AAUAUCUGCUUUCUCUUCAGAUAGCAUAAAUUUUUUGCCUUUUACUAAAGGUUUCUGUGGAGAGGAACAACUCUGAGAAAAGAGAGAG